CGAGAAGCGGCGGAACGGUCAAUGCAUCUCCGUAUCAAGGAGACUGUUGCGGGUUCAAUUCCCGUUUGGUUGG
rfam:Operophtera brumata OBRT01_Sc13035, whole genome shotgun sequence.